UACGUAGGGGGCAGGCGUUAAUCGGAAUUACUGGGCGUAAAGCGUGCGCAGGCGGUUUGCUAAGACAGGUGUGAAAUCCCCGGGCUUAACCUGGGAACUGCGCUUGUAACUGGCAAGCUAGAGUGUGGCAGAGGGGGGUGGAAUUCCACGUGUAGCAGUGAAAUGCGUAGAGAUGUGGAGGAACACCGAUGGCGAAGGCAGCCCCCUGGGCUAACACUGACGCUCAUGCACGAAAGCGUGGGGAGCAAACAGG
rnacentral:rRNA from 1 species